rnacentral:lncRNA from 1 species
CUGAACUUCUUGCUGAAGGAGAACAGGGCAUCGCCUGCUGAGAAUAGGCUUAGUAAUGUAUGCCCCUCUGUACCCAACUCAUGUCAACCCUCCAGGCACUUCUAGACCAUGGUGAGCCAGCCAGCUCAGCUUUCUCAGGCAGAUCUUCAGAUCUUCAGUGGACAGAUGGCAGCCUGAUUCCAACACAGGCAGGGGCAGAGAGAAGAGGAGGGUUCCUCUGGCUUCACAAGUCACUGCAACAUAACCACUUUCCCUCAUUCCAAACAAGACUGUUAAGCUUCUCUGAGAAAAAGAUCUGUUGUUAACAUGCUGACAAGACCUCAAGCUACUUCACUAUCUAACCACAGAAGGAGAUAGUGACGAUCCCUGGGGCUAAAAUAGUGCUCUUCAGAAUAUGUGAUCUUUUUUCUUUUUUAAAUUCUUUAUGCUUCACCUUGUUCCAGGAAGGACUGAAAGGGCGGGUAACUACUCAGGCUCUGCCAGUGAACCAGUCCAGAUGUGUAGCUCCCUGCCCCAGACCUGGGCUAGCACCCCAGUGAGUUUCCCAAGGAACCUCAACAAACCAGACCAAUCACAUUCCACACUAUUCAAAAGCACAGUGCAUGGAGACCAGGUGGCCAGGGUGGCUCAUGUAUGGUCACAACAGAUGCAAAGGAAAGCUGUCCUCUGGCUGUGACUGCCCAGAAGAGUCAAGAUCUCCAACCAAGUUCAGUCUCGAAGUAUGCCCACCCUCACACAGUUGUUAGUUAAAAUAAGGUAACAAGGA